UUCAUGUUUAUACCGAUUCGAGUUGCUGUCCUGCAAGCAAUUGCUUCUGCUGCAAAGGCUGAUGCUAUUUGGUGAUGAAGCUCUGUAAUAGAUAAAAGGGCGUUUCCUUGACUGUCUCUGGCCACAAUUCCCACUGCCGAUUGUCGAGCAUUUUCAUCAAAGGCUGCGUCAAAGUUAAGCUUUAUAAACUGACCAGAUUGCCCAAAGAGCACAACAAAAUACCCUACGCAUAUUGGGAUUAUUCUGAUUGAAAACCCAGGACACUCACGAAAAAUGUGAUUUGUGGUUUCUGCUGCUCUACCACACCCAGAACAUGUCGUUUGACUUAGGAGCCUUCUGAAGUGCAGAUUCACCCACGUUGGAAUAUAAUUCCAGGCUAUUCGCCAAAUUGUAAUUUUUAUCUUCGAAGGUAGAUUAAGGAGCCAGAUAUUUUUGUAAAAAUCCCUAGUUUCAGUUUGUAAGGCAUAAGCCCUAGGAUCAUUUUCAUUACCUUGUAAUAGUUUAUAGGCGCUUCUCACGGUGAACUCUCCCGAUGACUCUCCCCUCCAGGCUGGAAAAUCUUUGUGAGGCUCUUUUGCAAGCGGAAUGCAGAGGAUUCUCUCAGCUAUCUCCAUUGGAAAGGUAGACUCAAUCAAGCCCUGUUUCCACUCCCUCUUACUUUCAUCAAUUAGAUCUGCAACUUUACAAUC